AAAUCCCACACAGGCAAACGAUAACUGAUUAAAUACUUAAAAUAGAGAGCCAAUUACCAAAUAUUUUAUAAAGAUUAAACUUAUUUGAUACCCCAACCCCUCUUGUCUCGACUCCUUACUGAAUAAUUUUGCUGCAAUGCAUAUGCGUCACUGCACACAGGGGCGGCAGCUUUAGCUGGAAAACACGAGUGAAAACACGUGCGUCUCCUUUAAGAAUGAGGAUCCAAAUCCAUGUUUGAGGGAAACGACUGAAUUUUCUGUGAAAAUGGAUUAUCAAUGCAAAAUCGUUAUUUUGGGAUUUGUAUCUUGUCGAUGGAAAACGACACGGCGACUGAAAACAAUAAAUUGUGAGAACUGCUGACUCCAAAAUGUCUGAUUAUGUGAUUUGAUUCUGUUAACUGCCUUAAACUAAUGCUUGCGUUUACAUGGAGCUCGGAAGCAUUUGACACAGAAGGAAAUUCUUGAGAAGUUUUACCAAUUCUUAUCCGUGGAACAGAAGCAGCAGCGUAAGACAUAUGUAAAGACGAAACACAGAUGCAACACAACCUCCUACGUGAAUGUGACAAAUAGUUUUGGUAAACGGAUAUCUUGUUGCUUCAAGGCCAUGGAAGUCACGUUUCCAGCUUGUGGUGUUGUCUGUGCCACUGGAAGGAAAUCAGUAGUGGUUUAAAAUCGGCGUAUUUUUAAAUUCAUUGUAGCUACUGUUCCGCGUUACGGUUCUGCCAUUGUAUAAUUAUUAUUAUUAUUAUUAUUAUUAUUAUUAUUAUUAUUAUUAUUAUUAUUAUUAAUAAUAAAUAGCCUGAUGCCGAUAUUAUGACUAUGGUAGUAUAUUAAUUCUAAUUCUAUUAAUUUUAUUAUCCAUGCUGUUUUUAUUAAAAAUUAAAAAUUAAAUAAAAACAGGCACGUAGUAGGCCUAUAUUCAGCAUUCAGCUACAUUUGUCCUCCUUACUGUAUUUACAUUGGUCUUCAGCCGCUCGCUAUGCGAAUCCAUUCUCGGAGAGCAUUGGGAAAAGCAGUCCGUGGUCUCGCGAGGCAGGCUCCAUUCGGGAGACUGCGCGCGUUUUGUCGACGUUUUCUGGCUGUUUCGCAGAAACAACGGUCGAUAUUCUGAAAAAAACUGAUUUUAAGAAUGAGUCGGCCUGUACCCCUUUUUUCUAAUGUUAUUGGAAAUAACACGCGCUAUGUAAGCGACAUGCGUACGUGUUUAUAUGACCUGUUGUGCAUGUGCUGUUGAAAAUCAAGAACUGAAAACGUCGAGAAAGACGAACUCCUUUUGCGAUACAUUAGGCUUCUUCAGUCAACCAGCCAAAUUAUUUUUCUGUAAAAUUACUUACGCUAUCAUUCACGGAUAAUAAGCGAGUUACUUGCCAAGCUGACUACCUGGAAAGAGAACCCUAGUCUCGUUUGUCUGGCACUGCAACAUAAUAUAUUCAUACAAUGAUAUAGCCCAUUUAGCAUGUUUAUUCCAAAUGUCAUAAUUUUACAAGAUCAUCAUAUAAUAAAGAAAAUAUUUUUGCUGA